rnacentral:rRNA from 1 species
AACGAACGCUAGCGGCGCGUUUCAAGCAUGCAAGUCGAACGAUAAUAGGCCGUGUUCUUCGGAACAUAGCUUAGGAAAGUGGCGAACGGGUGAGUAACACGUGGAUAAUCUGCCCUGUGGUUUGGGAUAGCUGGUGGAAACACUAGGUAAUACCGGAUACACUUUUUGCACACAAGUGCAAAAAGAAAAGGAUGCAAUUGCACCGCCAUGGGAUGAGUCUGCGGCCUACUAGUUUGUUGGUGAGGUAAUGGCUCACCAAGGCUAUGACGGGUAGCUGGUCUGAGAGGAUGAUCAGCCACACUGGAACUGAGACACGGUCCAGACUCCUACGGGAGCAGCAGUAGGGAAUAUUGCACAAUGGGCGAAAGCCUGAUGCAGCAAUGCCGCGUGGAGGACGACGCAUUUAGGUGUGUAAACUCCUUUUAUAUGAGAAGAUAAUGACGGUAUCAUAUGAAUAAGCACCGGCUAACUCCGUGCC